rnacentral:rRNA from 1 species
CCCUUAGAUGUUCUGGGCCGCACGCGCGCUACAAUGGUCUUCGCAAACGGAUGCAUUCUCGAAGGAGAAUGCCAAUCUUGGAAUCUAUGCCUUGGUCGGGACAGUUGCUUGCAAUUUUUCGACUCGAACCAGGAAUUCCUUGUAAUCGUGAUUCAUCACAUCACGAUGAAUACGUCCCUGCCCUUUGUACACACCGCCCGUCGCUCCUACCGAUCGAAGAGUUAGGUGAAUUGUUUUGAUCGAUAAGAUUUGACUAUGGUUAACUCUCGUUGUGAAAUUCUGUGAAUCUGACUGUUUAGAGGAAGGAAAAGUCGUAACA